UUACGACCAUGCCAUGCUGAAACACCUGUCCUCGUCCGAUUACCGAAGUUAAGCAACGUCGAACUUGGUCAGUAAUAGAUAGGAUACCGCUUGGGAAUAUCAGGUGCUGUAA